rnacentral:lncRNA from 1 species
GAAAACAACAAAUGGUUGGGUCAAAAUUUGUGAUGAAAAAGGUUUUGUUCAAUAUAAUUUUUUACGAGUUAAUUUCAUACAUGUCCCUGUAAAUAUAGUGAAUGAUAAAUAUAUUCCUAUAAAGUUCAACUUUCAAAAUGUUGUUCCUACAAAAAAGUCUUAAUAUUUUUAAAUAUGUCCUCCUGAUUUGUUACCGUUAGAGAACCGUUUAUAUUUUUAAUUUUGUUGUGAGAUUCCUGGUGUACAGCAGUAAAGGCUUGUCGACAGCUCUAGAGAGUGUCAGGACAAGUCUGAGUCGCGUUGGCGCGAAAUAGACGCAAAACGGACUCUGUGCGACGCGAGAGCAGCAUUUAGCAAGAAAAUCUAUAAAUAGCUGUUUUCUGCUUGCUGUACCGGUACAGCCAUCAUGGUGUACCGGUACACUGCUCAGGGCUUCGCGCUGCUUGCUCUCGGGUUGGCCUCUGUACCGAUACACGGGCCCGUGUAUCGGUACGCCAGGGUAGGUAGGAUGACUUUUUGGUCUCUUUCUACCUCGUUUGUGUCACCCUUCCCUCUCUCUA